AAUCAAGACACUGAAACAACUCAAAUAUACCGAAACAAGGUGAAAUCAAGACACUGAAACAACCCAAAUAUACCGAAACAAGGUGAAAUCAAGACACUGAAACAACCCAAAUAUACCGAAACAAGGUGAAAUCAAGAUACUGAAACAACCCAAAUAUACCGAAACAAGGUGAAAUCAAGACACUGAAACAACCCAAAUAUACCGAAACAAGGUGAAAUCAAGACACUGAAACAACCCAAAUAUACCGAAACAAGGUGAAAUCAAGACACUGAAACAACCCAAAUAUACCGAAACAAGGUGAAAUCAAGACACUGAAACAACCCAAAUAUACCGAAACAAGGUGAAAUCAAGACACUGAAACAACCCAAGUAUACCGAAACAAGGUGAAAUCAAGACACUGAAACAACCCAAAUAUGCCGAAACAAGGUGAAAUCAAGACACUGAAACAACCCAAAUAUACUGAAACAAGGUGAAAUCAAGACACUGAAACAACUCAAAUAUACAGAAACAAGGUGAAGUCA
ensembl:lncRNA